ensembl:lncRNA
GAAAAGCCAAAGGGGAGUCCAGUGUGCUCUGUGAGGUCCCUGGCUGACGUGGAGCUGCAGUAUGAGUGUGCAUGGCCAGGAGGAACCCCAGAGGCCGUAGUGUCUUUCCCUGGACUGAACAACAGCAGCAGUGCCCCUGGACACCUCAUCCUCAACAUGAGCGCAGCAGACAGCCUCAGUGGGACCCCAGUCUCCUGUACAGCAUCCCACCCAGUGCAACCGGGCAUGUGCAACAUCACCGCAAGCCCCCCGGUGCCCUUCUUGCCCUCUCUGGAAUUUGGAGUGAACUCAGAGGGUAAGAUCCGGGUCACCAUAAGCUGUCUGAGCGCUGCGGUGCCGACGUCCGUGGUGUCUUGGCUCAGAGGCACAGAGGCAGUGAAUACCGGAUCAGUGCAUAGCAUCAGCCCUACUCAGCUCACCAUCCAGGACUAUAACAUCAGCACCUUCCUCCUCCACAAUUACACCUGCUUCUGCCGCAACCCCCUGGGAGUCCAGCAACGCCAAAUACAGCUACUGGCACCCACCAUCUCCGAUUCCAGUCUGCUCACCAACCAGGAGGGCACAGUCGUCACGCUGACCUGGGAAGUCCCGCCAACUUCUGUUGUUACAGGGUUCGACAUUCAAAUGCAGGGGCCAGAUCUCAUGCCUUCAAACCAAAAUGUCGGUCGGUCAAAUUCAUUCCGCACCAUUCAGCAGAAGCCUGGCUCUGCUCGAUCAACGGACAUACUAACCCUAGACCCUGAGAAGAGGUACAAGUUUAGAAUCAUCCCCAAAGCCCGCCUCACAGAAGGAGAGCCAUCCACAGUACUACGAAUCGGCCCUGCUGAAGGGUUGAGUGGGUCGGCCAUCGCUGGGAUAGCAGCAGGUAUUCCAGCAGGGAUCAUUCUGCUACUGAUACUGAUCGGACUCAUCUACCUUCUGAUCUACCGAAACGAUGACAGCGAGCAGGCCAGGUAUCCAGUGACAACAGACAAGGGUGUGAAGACCAAAGCAGAACUGGCCUCUAAUAACAUCCGAAUGGCUGCAGGUCUAAAUAAUUAUAACCCAGAUUACAACCGCUUACGCAAGGCCCCUUCUGAACACUCCGGGAGUCUGCCCAUGUUUGUGCCACCGCCUCCUGUCAGAGUUGCUACCAC